GUGAAUCAUCGAAUUUUUGAACGCAAAUUGCACUCUCUGGUAUUCCGGAGAGUAUGCCUGUUUGAGGGUCAGUAUUAAUAAAAAUCGGUGUGUUUCUUCUUUGUGACGCUCCUGAGUUUGGUUCAUCUUAAUAUCCUUUAGGUUUUAAGAGGCUUAAAAUUGACUUUUUUUGCUCAUUUUUAGACGUACAUAAAUUUUUUUUUUAUUCGUCUAUUCUUAAUUCCAAAAUCUUAUUAGAUGCGAUCACAUCGUCUGGUUUCGUGUCCAUAAAAUUUUCAUGAUUUGCCCUCAAAUCAGUUAA
rnacentral:misc_RNA from 1 species